GAUGAACGCUGGCGGCGUGCCUAAUACAUGCAAGUCGAGCGAACGGACGAGAAGCUUGCUUCUCUGAUGUUAGCGGCGGACGGGUGAGUAACACGUGGAUAACCUACCUAUAAGACUGGGAUAACUUCGGGAAACCGGAGCUAAUACCGGAUAAUAUUUUGAACCGCAUGGUUCAAAAGUGAAAGACGGUCUUGCUGUCACUUAUAGAUGGAUCCGCGCUGCAUUAGCUAGUUGGUAAGGUAACGGCUUACCAAGGCAACGAUGCAUAGCCGACCUGAGAGGGUGAUCGGCCACACGGGAACUGGGAAACGGUCCAGACUCCUACGGGAGGCAGCAGUAGGGAAUCUUCCGCAAUGAGCGAAAGCCUGACGGAGAAACGCGGCGUGAGUGAUGAAGGUCUUCGGAUCGUAAAACUCUGUUAUUAGGGAAGAACAUAUGUGUAAGUAACUGUGCACAUCUUGACGGUACCUAAUCAGAAAGCCACGGCUAACUACGUG
rnacentral:rRNA from 1 species